rnacentral:rRNA from 1 species
UAUACAUGCAAGUCGAGCGAAUCGACGGGAGCUUGCUCCCUGAGAUUAGCGGCGGACGGGUGAGUAACACGUGGGCAACCUGCCUAUAAGACUGGGAUAACUUCGGGAAACCGGAGCUAAUACCGGAUACGUUCUUUUCUCGCAUGAGAGAAGAUGGAAAGACGGUUUACGCUGUCACUUAUAGAUGGGCCCGCGGCGCAUUAGCUAGUUGGUGAGGUAAUGGCUCACCAAGGCGACGAUGCGUAGCCGACCUGAGAGGGUGAUCGGCCACACUGGGACUGAGACACGGCCCAGACUCCUACGGGAGGCAGCAGUAGGGAAUCUUCCGCAAUGGACGAAAGUCUGACGGAGCAACGCCGCGUGAACGAAGAAGGCCUUCGGGUCGUAAAGUUCUGUUGUUAGGGAAGAACAAGUACCAGAGUAACUGCUGGUACCUUGACGGUACCUAACCAGAAAGCCACGGCUAACUACGUGCCAGCAGCCGCGGUAAUACGUAGGUGGCAAGCGUUGUCCGGAAUUAUUGGGCGUAAAGCGCGCGCAGGUGGUUCCUUAAGUCUGAUGUGAAAGCCCACGGCUCAACCGUGGAGGGUCAUUGGAAACUGGGGAACUUGAGUGCAGAAGAGGAAAGUGGAAUUCCAAGUGUAGCGGUGAAAUGCGUAGAGAUUUGGAGGAUCACCAGUGGCGAAGGCGACUUUCUGGUCUGUAACUGACACUGAGGCGCGAAAGC